AAGCACCUCUUCUCCAUCAUCAUCUCUACCUCCAGGAGUAGCACAAACACCCUCUGGAAAUGGAAUAGCACCAUCUCCUUAUCAAUUUAACAACCCAACAUCACCUUCAUCUUCACCUUCAGCUAGUUCACCGGUGUCAACCACUACCUCGCCUCCAGCUUCCACUCCAGCUAGUUCACCGGUGUCAACCACUACCUCGCCUCCAGCUUCCACUCCGGCAAGUUCUCCGGUGCCAACCACUACUUCACCUCCAGCUCCUACUCCGGCUAGUUCCCCAGUGUCAACCAAUUCUCCAACAGCAUCUCCUGCGGGUUCCUUGCCGGCAGCAGCAACUCCAUCACCUUCGUCUACUACUGCAGGAAGUCCGUCACCGUCCUCCACCCCUCCAGGAACGCGU
rnacentral:lncRNA from 1 species